rnacentral:rRNA from 1 species
UACGUAGGUGGCAAGCGUUGUCCGGAUUUACUGGGCGUAAAGGGCGCGUAGGCGGCAAUUCAAGUCACUUGUGAAAUCUCCGAGCUUAACUCGGAACGGUCAAGUGAUACUGCUUUGCUAGAGUGCAGAAGGGGCAACCGGAAUUCUUGGUGUAGCGGUGAAAUGCGUAGAUAUCAAGAGGAACACCGGAGGUGAAGACGGGUUGCUGGGCUGACACUGACGCUGAGGCGCGAAAGCUAGGGUAGCAAACGGG